rnacentral:rRNA from 1 species
AUUGAACGCUGGCGGCAUGCUUUACACAUGCAAGUCGAACGGUAACAGGCCGUCGGUUGCUGACGCGUGGCGAACGAGCGAGUAAUUCACCCGAACGUACCCAGCGGUGGGGGAUAACGCAGCGAAAGCUGACCUAAUACAGCAUGGGAUCGGAGGAUGAAAGCGGGGGACCGGGCAGCAAUGUUUGGCCGGGCGGCUAUGGAGCGGCGGCUGACGGAUUAGCUAGUGGGGGGGGUAAAGGCCUACGAAGGCGACGAUCCGUAGCUGGACUGAGAGGCCGGUCGCCCGCAUUGGGAGUGAGACACGGACCAGACUCCUACGGGAGGGAGCAGAGGGGUAUGGUGGACAGUGGGCGGAAGCAUUAUACAGCGAUGCCGCGUGUGGGACGAAGGCCUCGGGGUUGGAAUCCGCUUCUGGCAGGAGCGAACCGGUGUCGGCUAAGACCGGGCGUUAGUGACGGUACCGGGAGAAUAAGCACCGGCUAACUACGUG